rnacentral:rRNA from 1 species
GACGAACGCUGGCGGCGUGCUUAACACAUGCAAGUCGAACGGAAAGGCCCUGCUUUUGUGGGUUUCUCGAUUGGCGCACGGGUGAGUAACACGUGAGUAACCUCCCCUUGACUUUGUGGUAACUUCACGGAACUGCGGCUCAUACCGCAUAUGAUCUCCUGCUCCAUGUUGUGGGUUGGAAAGUUUCGGCGGUUGGGGAUGGACUCGCGGCUUCCGCGCUUGUUGGUGUGGUAGUGGUUUACCAAGGUUUUGACGGCUAGCCGGCCUGGGAGGGUGACCGGGGACAAUGGGACUGAGAGACGGCCCAGACGCGAACGGGAGGCAGUAGGGGGGAAUAUGGCACAACGAGGGGAAGUGUGAGGCAGAAACGCCGCGAGCGGGAUGACGGGUUUCGAGUUGAGAACAGAUGUGGCAGGAGACGAAGAGGGAGUGACGGUAAUGGGUAAAGAAGCACCGGCUAACUACGUG